rnacentral:rRNA from 1 species
UACCAGCACCCCGAGUGGUCGGGACGAUUAUUGGGCCUAAAGCAUCCGUAGCCGGUCCUGCAAGUCUUCCGUUAAAUCCAGCUGCUCAACAGAUGGGCUGCGGAGGAUACUACAAGGCUAGGAGGCGGAAGAGGCAAGCGGUACUCAGUGGGUAGGGGUAAAAUCCUCUGAUCCAUUGAAGACCACCAGUGGCGAAGGCGGCUUGCCAAUACGCGCUCGACGGUGAGGGAUGAAAGCUGGGGGAGCAAACCGG